AUUGAACGCUGGCGGCAUGCUUUACACAUGCAAGUCGAACGGUAACAGGCCGCAAGGUGCUGACGAGUGGCGAACGGGUGAGUAAUGCAUCGGAACGUGCCCAGUCGUGGGGGAUAACGCAGCGAAAGCUGCGCUAAUACCGCAUACGAUCUAUGGAUGAAAGCGGGGGACCGUAAGGCCUCGCGCGAUUGGAGCGGCCGAUGUCAGAUUAGGUAGUUGGUGGGGUAAAGGCUCACCAAGCCGACGAUCUGUAGCUGGUCUGAGAGGACGACCAGCCACACUGGGACUGAGACACGGCCCAGACUCCUACGGGAGGCAGCAGUGGGGAAUUUUGGACAAUGGGCGCAAGCCUGAUCCAGCCAUUCCGCGUGCAGGAUGAAGGCCCUCGGGUUGUAAACUGCUUUUGUACAGAACGAAAAGGCUCUGGUUAAUACCUGGGGCUCAUGACGGUACUGUAAGAAUAAGCACCGGCUAACUACGUGCCAGCCGCCGCCGUAAAAC
rnacentral:rRNA from 1 species